rnacentral:rRNA from 1 species
CAACUCUAGUUGAUCCUGCUAGAGGACACUGCUAACGGCUUGGGGUUAAGACAUGCAAGUGCAACGGACUCACUUCCGAGUCUGUCGCGAACGGCUCAGUAGCGUGUCGCUAACCUACCCUGUGGAGGCGGAAAACGCCGGGAAACUGGCGCUAAUCCGCUACAGGGGCGAUGUUCUGGAAAUGAUUUCGCCCUUAAACGGGUGCUUCGGUAUGUGGAGCAUUCCGCCGCAGGACGGGGCGGCACUGGAUCAUACUUGUAAGUGGGGUAACUGCCCACUUAGGUUAUGACCCGAACGGGCGAUGUAAGUCGUGGCCCGGAGAAGGGCACUGAGACAAGGGCCCUAGCCCCACGGGGCGCAGCAGUUACGAAACCUCACCAAUGCGCGAAAGCGUGAGUGGGCCAAGCCGAGUGACGGGGGAUAACUCCGUCUGUGGCGGAUCCGUAGGGUGGACCGCUAGAAAGGAGAGGGCAAGGCUGGUGCCAGCCGCCGCGGUAAAACCAGCUCUUCGAGUGGUGUCCAUGAUUAUUGAGCUUAAAGCGUCCGUAGCCUGUUCAGUAGGUCCCUGCUAAAAUCCGGUCGCCUAACGGUCGGAAGGGUAGGGAUACCGCUGUACUUGGGGGCGGGAGACGACGACGGUACUCCGCAGGUAAGGGUGAAAUCUUAUGAUCUGCGGAGGACCACCAGUGGCGAAGGCGGUCGUCGAGAACGCGCCCGACGGUGAGGGACGAAACCCAGGGGAGCGAAUCGGAUUAGAUACCCGAGUAGUCCUGGGCGUAAACCAUGCCCGUUAAGUGUUGCUACGGCCACGAGCCGUGGCGGUGCUGCAGCAAAAGCGUUAAACGGGCCGCUUGGGAAGUACGGUCGCAAGACUGAAACUUAAAGGAAUUGGCGGGGGAGCACCACAAGGGGUGGAGCUUGCGGUUUAAUUGGACUCAACGCCGGAAAACUUACCCGCCCAGACAGCCGAAUGAGAGCCAGACUGAUGAUCUUGCUCGACGAGCUGAGAGCUGGUGCAUGGCCAUCGUAAAUUCGUGCCGUGAGGUAUCAGCUUAAGUGCUGCAACGAAUGAGACCCUUGCCACCUAAUUGCCAGCCGGGGGCUUCGGCCCUGACGGGGCACAUUAGGGGGACUGCUAGCGAAAAGCUGGAGGAAGGUGAGGGCCACGGUAGGUCCGUAUGCCGCGAUAUGGGCGGGGCCACACGCGUGCUACAAUGGCGAGGACAAUGCGUUACAACACCGAAAGGUGAAGUCAAUCGCGAAACCUCGUCGUAGUCGGAAUCGCGGAUUGCAAUUCAUCCGCGUGAACCUGGAAUCCCUAGUAUCCGCGUGUCACUAACGCGCGGAGAAUACGUCCCUGCUUCUUGCACACACCGCCCGUCGCUCCAUGCGAGCGGUUCUGGGGUGAGGCGCUGUCUGAAAAGGCGGUAACGAAUCUUGGGAUCGCAAGUAGGGAGAAGUCGUAA